GACGAACGCUGGCGGCGUGCCUAAUACAUGCAAGUAGAACGCUGAAGAGAGGAGCUUGCUCUUCUUGGAUGAUUGCGAACGGGUGAGUAACGCGUAGGUAACCUGCCUGGUAGCGGGGGAUAACUAUUGGAAACGAUAGCUAAUACCGCAUAAUAGUAGAUGUUGCAUGACAUUUGCUUAAAAGGUGCAAUUGCAUCACUACCAGAUGGACCUGCGUUGUAUUACUAGUUGUGAGGUAACGGCUCACCAAGGCGACGAUACAUAGCCGACCUGAGAGGGUGACGGCCACACUGGGACUGGACACGGCCCAGACUCCUACGGGAGGCAGCAGUAGGGAAUCUUCGGCAAUGGACGGAAGUCUGACCGAGCAACGCCGCGUGAGUGAAGAAGGUUUUCGGAUCGUAAAGCUCUGUUGUAAGAGAAGAACGAGUGUGAGAGUGGAAAGUUGCACACUGUGACGGUAUCUUACCAGAAAGGACGGCU
rnacentral:rRNA from 1 species